UUUGUUGUUGAGUCAAAGUGCGCGGAUCGCUUAGAGGGGAGAGACUCCUGUAAGCGUGUCAAUCGAAAUAAGUUAAUCAGUGUCGUUAAGUGAACUCUGUGUGUGUUUUUCGUUUCGUUAUUGCAAAGACUUUUAUGUUUAUCAUUUGAAAAGGUGGCAUUUAUUGCAUGUCCAGAGGUGUCAACAAGCUGUCGAGCCUGUUAAAGUUAAUUAUUUAAAAAGUGUGUCAUUGUUGAGCUGAUCGGCAACUGUUAAAGAUGGGCAAAUUCGAGUAUUCCCUGGGCCUCAAUGAGUUCAAGUCGAAGGAUCAACGAUUUUGGCAGGCAUUGAUUGGAGAAUUUAUUGGAAAUCUCAUAUUGAACUUCUUUGCCUGUGGUGCCUGUACACAAAUUGAGGAUGGCACCUUCAAGGCACUGGCUUUUGGACUAGGUGUCUUCAUGGCCAUCACAAUCGUUGGUCAUUUAAGUGGCGGCCAUGUUAAUCCCGCUGUUACCGUGGCUAUGUUGGUAGCAGGUCGGAUUAGCGUGAUCCGUGCUCUCUUCUAUAUAGUCUUCCAGUGUCUGGGUGCUAUUGCGGGCACAGCUGCUGUCAAGACACUGCUCGAUUCGGACUACCACAAUGGUCUUGGCCACACGAGCCUGGCUAUCAAUAUCAGCGAGCUGCAGGGAUUGGGCAUUGAGUUCUUCCUGGGUCUGGUCCUGGUGCUGACCGUGUUUGGUGCCUGUGAUCCCAACAAGCCGGAUUCCCGUUACACAGCACCCUUGGCCAUUGGCAUGUCUGUGACCUUGGGACAUUUGGGUACAAUUCGUUAUACAGGUGCUAGCAUGAAUCCGGCUCGCACAGUGGGCACCGCCUUUGCCACCGAUAACUGGAGUGCCCAUUGGGUAUAUUGGGCUGGACCAGUGCUGGGCGGUGUGGCGGCUGCUCUGCUCUACACUCAGGUGCUCGAGGCCAAGGAGUUGCCCAAGAACAACGAGGCGUCUGAGAAAUAUCGCACACAUGCCGACGAACGUGAGGUGAGAGCUUUUGCGGCCUGGCAUGAUAAAAGUUUCUAUUGAAACACACAUACACACACUCACAUACACUCACUUACACUCACCCUCACACACUCACAUUCUACGCAAAUUGGAAGGAACCCGCGACUAUGCCUAAGGAUCGUCUUUCUAUAUCCCAGCUCGAUCCAAAUCCAAAUGCUCAUCCACAUGAAUUGUAGGGAAAUGUAUGCAAUAAUUUAAAUUUCUCGAUUCCAUUUCGUUUUCGUCUUGAAUAAUUCUGCGUAUACGUGUUAAUUAUUGUAUGUACAAGUAUUUAUGUAUUUAUUUAUGCGAGUUCAUUGUUUAAACUAAUAUUUGUUAAUAUAUAAGCUGUGCUUAACACAACCACUUCUAA